CCUACGGGAGGCAGCAGUGGGGAAUAUUGCACAAUGGAGGGAACUCUGAUGCAGCGACGCCACGUGAGCGAUGAAGGAAUUCGUUUCGUAAAGCUCUGUCCUAGGGGACGAUAAUGACGGUACCCUAGGAGGAAGCCCCGGCUAACUACGUGCCAGCAGCCGCGGUAAUACGUAGGGGGCGAGCGUUGUCCGGAAUUACUGGGCGUAAAGGGUACGCAGGCGGCCAUGUAAGUCAGAUGUGAAAGACAUAGGCUUAACCUAUGUAAGCAUUUGAAACUGCUUGGCUUGAGUUAAGGAGAGGAAAGUGGAAUUCCUAGUGUAGUGGUGAAAUACGUAGAUAUUAGGAAGAAUAUCAGUGGCGAAGGCGACUUUCUGGACUUAUACUGACGCUGAGGUACGAAAGCGUGGGGAGCAAACAGGAUUAGAUACCCGAGUAGUC
rnacentral:rRNA from 1 species